GCCCCCGCCCCGGCACUGUCUCCACUUUCAUUUGGGGGGUUCUGUUUUGAUAAGGCAAGGAGAAGGGAAGGAGCUCGAGCGGCGGAGGAGAGGAAGCGAUUUCUUAUGUUCAUGGCGAUUCCGGGCUAUUCCACCGCCCGAUUUCGAUUUCUCCUCCCUUUUCUAUUCGAUCCCCGCUGCCGCGGUUGGUUGUCCUUGUCUCUCGCGUUUCCCUGUGUUGUGGCUAUGUAGUUCCGGAUCUAGGUAAGUUUUGGAUCCGUGGUUCAUCUGUUAUUGGUGUUGUCCGUGGAUCCGUGGUAGGUGCAUGUUGCUGCCGUGUUUGUUUCUAGUCCGCCAUGCCUAGCGCUCCAUUUCCCAUCCUUCUGCCCGCCUGAGUUGUGUAGGAGCUUGUUGUAUGUGGGGAGUUCUAAUCCAUCUCCUUGUUGUGGUCCUUUUCUCCCCUGCUUGUAGAUGUAGAGGUAGGCGUAGGUUGUUUAUUCUGAUGUAGAUGUAGAGGUAGGCGAAGUUAUAGUUGCAGCGGUGGAUUCGCCCUAUCAAUUUUAUUUCUGCUGGCCUGGGUGUCUGUUCCUUUGUCGUUAGAUGUAGUUGCAGAUGGUCUAGCAUGGGUUUCUGCCUGCUUCUGCAGUUUACUUGUAGUUGCUGUUAGCUGCUGAUGUUUGCUGUUGUAAUCCCUGGAAUUCAAUAUGAUUUUUUUUGUUAGAUGUAGGUGUUCAUUUCACCCGGUACCUGAAUCUCUCUGAAUUUGUGUGUACUAGGCUGCAGUGUUGUUGUAGUGUUAGUCCAGGAAUCUCUCUGAAUUUCAUGCUUCUUUACGGUGUAUUUUUACUCCAGACUUGAAGUGUAACUUACCCCUAGAAUUACAGUGUAUCCCCAUCCAGAAUUACUGUGUAAUUUAACUCAUAAUUACAGUGUAACUUGCCCCAUAAUUGCAGUGCAUUUACAGUGUAGCCUGAUGCUUCUUUAUUUGUUGUUACUCUGUAAUUUGUCCUAGUAGUACUGUGUAUUUCCCCCCUAAUUACAGUGUAAUCCUGAUGCUUCUUUCUUCAGUGUAAAUUUUGCUAUAAUUACUGUGUAACAUGUCGUAGAAUUACACUGUAGGUUACCCUGCAAUUACAGUGCAAUAUACCGUGAUUACCGUGUGUUUUUUGUGCUUCUUUAUUUGUAAUUACUGUGUAAUUUUCCCUAGAGUUACUGUGUAAUAUUUUCCCCCGUUACCGUGUAAUUCUCAUGCUUCUUUCAGUGUAAAUUGCAGUGUAUAUUUUUCAGUGUAAUACUGCGCCAGUUUCUUUGUUAUUUACAUUGUAAUUUUUCUCAGAUGUUUUGCAUGCAUUCAUGUAGUUUUGCACUGUAAUAUCCCCCAUUCUUACUAUAUAAUUUAUCUUCAGUUUUUGGCAGUGUACUUCCUCUACCUUUUCAUUGUAAGUUGCCCUAAUUAUUGUGUAUUUUGACUCAGAGUUUCACUGUAUUUAGGUUGGUUUUUACACUGUAUUUUAAGUGAUUCUUGCACUGUAUUAAUAUGCCCCAUUAUUCUAUAUAAUUCCCCUGAUUGCUGCCUUUCAGUGUAUUUGUUGUGAGAUUUCCCUUGUAAUUGAGCCCCAUUACUCUAUAAUUUUCAACUUUCUUUAAUUUCUUUUUUUUUCGUGUGUCAUGUAUUCUGUUUUGUUAGGUUUAGGUCAAUGGGGAGACUACGGAAAGUCUCUCACAAGGAUGUUUCGGUAGUUUCUUCUAUCGUGAGUGCUGAUUCUUGGAAUGAUCAUUUUGUGCCUAAUGACUUUGCGGAAGAUGGUUCUAAUGCUAUGUCUUUGGAUCUUUCUAGUGAUGAUAGAGGGUUUGAUAAAGCUAUUUUUCAAGAAUUUCAUUGCAAUCCCCAUGCUUCCUUUUUGUAAUUGCAGUGUAAUAUACCCUAGAAUUGCAGUGUAAUUUAGCCCAGAUUUUAGUGUAAUCCCAAUGCUUCAUUUUUUUAAUUACAGUGUAAUUUUCCUAGAAUUUUGCAGUGUAAACUCCAUGCUUCAUUUAUGUAAUUACAGUGUAAUUUUCCCCAUAAUUACAGUUUAAACUUCAUGCUUUAUUUAUGUAAUUAUAGUGUAAUUAUUCCCCGAAUUGCAGUGUAAUUUUUCCUAGAACUUCAGUGUAAAUUUCAUUUUUUUUCUAAACAAAGUAGUGUAAUUUUCCUGCUGAACCUCUAUUACUUGAUAUUUGAGCUUCAUUCUUGUUCAGCUUUGCUUGAAUUACAGUGGAUUUUAACUCUGUUUAGGGCGAUUAUCCUGUGUAGUUCCUUGGUUAUUAUCAUUGUAAUCCACUAGUGUGAUUAUUCAUUUCCUUCACUGUCCAUGUGUACGAGCACUGUAACAAGCUCUGCUUUUCAUUGUCAAUAUUAAUGCCUUCAUCUGAUAGGACUUGUGUUCUUUAUGCUGAUAGGUAUGUCUUUGUAUUCAUGACUUCGUCUGAACUUGCAUGUAUCUCUGUAAUCCACUGAGUUCAUGUUAGUUACAUUGCCCUGUAUCGCAGCAAAGAUUUUUUCAUGUGUACUACAGCAAAGUUUUUUUCAUGUAAUUUCCCCAUGGUUCAUGCUACCUACAUUGCCCUAUACUGCAGCAAAGUUUUUUUCAUGUGUACCUUACACUGGAAUUCGUGUUGGUGUAGUGUUUUGACAGUGAAAUAUUAACAGUUUUACCUUCUGACAGUUAGAAUUUCCCCCCUGAUGAUUCCCACAUUUUCACUAGAUUGUAUGAUGUUUUUUUUUUCUACAGGCUAGUUCAUGUAGGAUGUGUAUCUAGAGCAGCGGGGUGAGGAAAAACACGGAAGAGUUCAAUAGAAGUGUGAUCAAAAGGAGUAGGACAUUACGUGAGCUGUGGACCGUCUCUUGGUUGAUCUUCCUCUGCCCUCCACCAAUUAUUCGGAUCUGUUCUUCCCCCUUGCUUCUCUCCAGGUGAUUUGUUGUCCAGGAAAGGAAAAAAGAGCAUGGGCAACGGUCCAGGUGGGUUUCGUGAUAGUUGCCUUGUUUUGUUUUGGUUAUUAGUUAGAACCGGGUCAGAUUUUAGCCGCCCGACCCAUUUUUUUGGAAAUACAAGCAUACAAUUGUCCAUGGUAUUUGGACAUAGGUGUCAGCGCUUGAUUUGUCAGGAAAUUUGACUAUAAUAUAGUGCUUUUUACCUUUGUA